GAUAUUCCCUAUAAACGUGAAGGGUACAGGUGGAAGCCUUUUGACUUUAGUGAAGUGGUCUUGCUCUUGGAUUAUCUCAUACACUUUCAAUUUUAUGAUGGAGUGGAGCACAGCAGGAACGUUUUUCAUAUUCUCCGGCGUUUCUGGUUUCGCUGUUCUAUUCGUCGCAAAACUUGUACAGGAGACCAAGGGGCGAGCUCUGGAAGAAAUACAAGCAUCAAUGGCACAUUUUCUGCAGUAAAAAUGAUGCUACGUACAGAGAUUGGGAGGAAAGGGGUUACUGUUUGCGGUGGCGUAUGGCGGAGAAGUGGCUUUCGAUGGUCUUGAACAAUGAAUAUGGAUUAAGGAUUUUGACUAUAGGUUGAAAAUAAGAGAGAAAAAUAAUAUGAUGUUUUCUGGUUUAAUAAUGUUUUGUGUUUCACGUUGUUGUGUCAUUUUCUUAUUGGAUGAUAUGAAGGACAUGGUUUGUAUAAA